rnacentral:rRNA from 1 species
UGUAAAACGCSGGCCAGUGAAWUGUAAUACGACUCACUAUAGGGCGAAUUGGGCCCGACGUCGCAUGCUCCCGGCCGCCAUGGCGGCCGCGGGAAUUCGAUUAGAGUUUGAUCAUGGCUCAGAACGAACGCUGGCGGCGUGCUUAACACAUGCAAGUCGAACGCGAAAGCCCGCAAGGGUGAGUAGAGUGGCGCACGAGUGAGUAACACGUAAGUAAUCUGCCCUUGAGUGGGGGASMKCGUUCCGAAAGGGACGCUAAUACCGCAUAACCCGGUAGGGACCCAGGUCCCAGCCGGCAAAGAUGGCCUCUGCUUGCAAGCUAUCGCUUAAGGAGGAACUUGCGCCCCAUUAGGUAGUUGGUGAGGUAACGGCUCACCAAGCCUGCGAUGGGUAGCCGGCCUGAGAGGGUAACCGGCCACACUGGCACUGAGACACGGGCCAGACUCCUACGGGAGGCAGCAGUGAGGAAUUUUGGGCAAUGGGCGAAAGCCUGACCCAGCGACGCCGCGUGGGUGAUGAAGSCCUUCGAGUCGUAAAACCCUGUGAG